GGAGCCGAGUGAAAAAUCCCGUCGCUGAUGGGAACCUGGAGCUGAUCCUCAAGGAGCAUCGGGCACAAGGCAGGGUACACCCUGGACAGGGUGCCAAUCCAUCGCAGGGCAUAAUCACACACCCAUUCAUACACUACAGACACACCAAUCAGCCUACCAUGUAUGUCUUUGGACUGGGGAGGAAACCGGAGUAACCGGAAGAAACCCCCGCAUCAACCCUCUACCCUGGAAGUGUGAGGCAAAUGUGCUAACCCCUAAGUCCCCUAUUAUUAUUAUUAUUAUUAUUAUUAUUAUAAGUUGGAAAGUUCCCUAAGGCACUUGAAACAACCAACCAGCAAUUUCCUAAUAAAACUUCACACUAAUGAACCUGACAGAGUUGGUGCUCACACCAAAUACUGACUGGCUUUAGGUUUUCACCGAAAACUACAAUUUAAAGUUGCUGUUUGUUUUACUUUUUUAUGGAUAUUAAAAACAUUAUAUGCUUCGGAAGUUGUUUGUAAGUUGUCCACAGGCGAGUGUACGAGCUUACACAAGCACACACAAGCUAUAAUGUUAUAUGGUGAAGAAAUGGUUAUCAGAGAAUUCUGUCUUUGUGCUCCUCCUCCUUCUCUCUCACAUACAAAAAGUCAGGAAGUCACUCCUCAUUUCAGAGAAGACGAAACUCAAAGUUCAGUGCAGUCUCCAUCUCUUUCUCUCUCUCUGUGGAUCUCGUGAGGUGGAAAUAAAAUCUGGACCCUUGCUUCUUCUCACUCUCGGCUGGUGUCUUUUUUCUAUCUCCAACUGGGUUUACAGAAGUGAGGAUUUGCUUCUAUGUUGAAUUUUAAGUGUCUUUGGGUAACAGGCUAAAUUUGGGCCAGCAUUUAGCACUCCUCAGACUCAACAUCUCCAGCGACGCUCAUGUUGAUCUGGUGCUCCCGAUUGUGGGUCUUUCAUUCUGUCACGUAUCAAGGAUGGGUUCAGAAGCAUUCGCAGAUAAUUAACAUUUAUUAAAUAAACAAACAACAAAACUAAGACAACUGGGCAAACCACUAUGGCAAGAAAGACAGAGAAACAGUGCAGACAAUGGCUAUAUAUACAAGAGUGCUCAUUAACAGAAACGUGAAUCAGGUGCAGGUGGUCAUGUGAUAAGUAGUGCAGCGCAGUGGCUGAUGGGAACUGGAGUCCAGAGUUUCCUGCUACAUGACAAUAGUGUUACUGUGUUUGUAAUUCUUUAUAUUAUCUGUCUACUGACUGCAUCCUUUACAGCAAUACAUCAACUGCAUGAUAUUAUUAAAUGAUUACGUUUUUCCUCAAAUGUUUUUCCAGUGAAGGUUUUAUUUUAUUCUGUUUUUUAUUAUUAUUCACGAACCAGGUUUAAUAAUGUCCUUAACAAGAGACGACUGUAGCUACCGGUUUAGCGUUACGCAGACUGCAUGUCUAUAUCAUGACACGUUCAGCUCAAAAACAUUGUUUGUGUCAGUAAUACAGUUUCACAAAAUGCAGAGUAAAUUCUAUUACAGACAUUAAAUACCCAAACCAAA